rnacentral:misc_RNA from 1 species
AAAGUCGUAACAAGGUUUCCGUAGGUGAACCUGCGGAAGGAUCAUUAACACUUUUGAUUCUUAUACAAACAACCGUGAACAUGUUUAACCAACCUCAUGCUUCAUAACUGCUCUGAUUCGGUAAGGGUGGAGAUCGCAAGAUCUAGCCGAAUCUUAGCUGCUAGGCCGCGAAAGCGAGUCUAGAAGUUAUGAGGAUUUUGAGGCAUUUUCGCCCUAAUCAUCCCCAUCCAACGAUGAUUAGUGGCGUUUCUCAAUAUUAACCCCAAUCAACUAAAUUGUACUAAAUUAAGUGCUUACUGAUGUAAAAAUCAGCAAGACACCAAGUUAUACGUAACUGAGAACAACUCUUAGCAAUGGAUAUCUUGGUUCCC